rnacentral:rRNA from 1 species
GACGAACGCUGGCGGCGUGCUUAACACAUGCGAGUCGAACGGAAAGGCCCUGCUUUUGUGGGGUGCUCGAGUGGCGAACGGGUGAGUAACACGUGAGUAACCUGCCCUUGACUUUGGGAUAACUUCAGGAAACUGGGGCUAAUACCGGAUAGGAGCUCCUGCUGCAUGGUGGGGGUUGGAAAGUUUCGGCGGUUGGGGAUGGACUAGCGGCUUAUCAGGUUGUUGGUGGGGUAGUGGCUUACCAAGGCUUUGACGGGUAGCAGGCCUGAGAGGGUGACCGGCCAAAUUGGGACUGAGAUACGGCCCAGAGUCCUACGGGAGGCAGCAGUGGGGAAUAUUGCACAAUGGGCGGGAGCCUGAUGCAGCAACGCCGCGUGCGGGAUGACGGCCUUCGGGUUGUAAACCGCUUUCGCCUGUGACGAAGCGUGAGUGACGGUAAUGGGUAAAGAAGCACCGGCUAACUACGUG